rnacentral:tRNA from 1 species
GCCUCCGUGGUCUAGCGGUUAGGACAUCGCCCUCUCAAGGCGGCAACACGGGUUCGAUUCCCGUCGGAGGUGCCA